CUCCGUACUUUAAUGCAGUGAUCCUUGCUACUUCGUAGUACGGAGUAUGAACGUUCUCCCUCCACUUCUCUGGUUCUCCUCACCUUACUUCUGAAGCAGCUUUUCCCAAUUCGAAAAUGGAGUCACAUGGCAAUCCUCCUCCACCUUUCCUCCCCAAUCCCUGGGACCCACCACCUCCGCCACUGCCUCCCAACUUCCAGUGGGGAAACCCUGGCUUUUCCGGCGAAGGCUUCCCUCAAUUUUCACCCUUUCACCCUCCCUCCGAUCACCCCUUCCCGCCGGCCUCCGGAGGUUUCUGUCAGUCGAAGCCUCAUUUCAUGAGGAAGCGGAAGUUCGAUAGAGCUGAUGAGGGCAAUUUUGUUAAGCUCUAUGUGGCCGGGAUUCCCAGAACUGCGACCCAAGAUGAGAUAUAUUGCUUGUUUGAAGAGUAUGGAAAUGUUGUGGAGGUUGUUCUUCUCCCUGAUAAAUGGACUGGUCAAAAGCAAGAGUAUUGUUUUGUGAAGUAUUCGUUGAUUGAAGAGGCUGACAGAGCAAUAGCAGCUUUACACAAUCAGUUCACUUUUCCAGAAGCAAUGAUUCCCAUUAUAGUAAGAUAUGCUGAUGGAUCCAAGCCACGUCAAGGUCUGGAGCGUCCAGUGCAACAUGACUCAUGCCUUUCUAAAUCAGGGGUACAUUCUCUAGGCUUGAUGCAAAAUGAUUCGACCUUUCCUGGACCAGCAGUCGUUGGACAGACUCUGCACAAGCUGUAUGUAAAUGGGCUGAAUAGAGAAGCAUCAAAACAGGAAGUCGAGGAAAUAUUUUCAUCAUAUGGUGUUGUUGCUGAUAUUUACCUGUUGCGUGAUGAUUCGAAGCAAAACCGUGGAUGUGGUUUUGUGGGCUUUACUCAAAGACAUAUGGCAAUGGCAGCAAUCAACGGGUUAAAUGGAAGCUAUGUGAUGAAAGGGUGUGACAGGGUAUUAGCUGUUCGUUUUGCUGAACCUAAGAAGCAAAAGAACGGAGAACUCAGGUCAAAUCCAAAUCCUGUGGAUAUGCGGGGUAGCAAUAUGCCUAAUUCUCUACAUCUGGGAAACACAACAACUUCCAUGCAAGUAAACUCUACAGGUAUUCAAGGUGGAAAUUUUCCUACAGUAAGAAACAAUUUGGAGUGUCCUGUGGCUUGUGAAACACAGAAACCACUUCAACAGCCAAUUUCUCCUUCGCGGUUUUCUCAGAUGUCGUUGCAACCCUCACAACCUUCGAAGGGGAGCCCUCAGCCCGCCAAACAAACUGAUUCUCAGUUACAGACACCAUUGCAUUCAGAUUCAGACCGAAGAUCAAAAAGCAGCACGGACCAGCAACAUGAUCAUCAGUCACCCCAACCUUGCAGAGAUACUGGAUCGAACUCAGUUAUAUUGAGCUCCGAACCUGCUUCAUGUGGUUUAUCUAGAACUGAUUUGUCCGAAAGUCCUAUAGACUGUGAUUGGAGUGAACACAUAUGCCCAGAUGGAUGCAAGUACUACUUCAAUUGUGUGACUUUUGAAAGCAGGUGGGAAAAGCCAGAGGAGUUUUCCCUUUAUGAACAACUGUUGAAAAGUCAAGAGCCCCAUCCUUCAACUUUGGAGGAUUCAUCUGUUGAAGAGGACUGUCAAACUCGAGUGAUAAAAGACCAGAAGGAACCUUGCGGUUUUGGAAACCCUAAAUUGGCAAUGUCGUGCUCUGUGGAACACAGUCAUGAGCAAAUACAAGCAGAAACCAGUGCACUCGGCGAGCCAGCUUUUGUUCAAUAGUAAUGUGCGAAAUAACCAAUCGAGAUUUUUCAAGGGCGAAAUCUGAAAUCUUGCAUGAUAUGGUCUCAUUUUCACAAAGUGGGAUUUGGAUGACAUUCUCAGUUUUGUUGGAGGUUGGGAAAAUCUUUACGUGUCUUGUACGGAGUACGUAUUUAUAAAGAAUAAGUUUCAGGUAAGACUGUCUUACACUAGUUUAUUGUAAUACAACUAUAACAAUAUUGAAGACUUGAUCUUAAUUAUAGAGUCGGGUUGUUCCAGUGGUGGAUCUUGACUAAAAGAUUACGAUGGGCCAAGAUUUGAAACUUCAACACUUAAUUAUUAAAUACAUGUGCAUU